AACUUUUUCCAAUCAUCCAACUUAAUAAAAGUAUUAGGAAAUGACUUUAAUUUUAAACAACAAUAAAGAAAGUCAUUUCACACAUAAAGAAAAUACUGAGAAAAUUAAGACGUCACUCAAAGAAGAAAAGGAAGGUAAUGUUAUACAGAGAAUUCUAGCAGGGGUAUGGGUCUGUGAUUCAUCAGUGUCUGCGAGAUCUAUCGAAUUAUACGGGACAAAGGUCUUAAUGACAAGCAAGGAAAAAGGCACCUCCCCACAAAAACGCUUCACCUGCCAACCUCCCCGUUACGUAACAGUUCAUACUACAGAGAUAAUAAGAAAAAAAAAAUCAACAUUCUUGAUAUUUAACCCACUACUGGCCCUGCAUGCAGGGGUGUUUUCACGGUCAGCCCACCAGAGAGAAAUUCCAGGGAAGACACCCACACCCACACAUACUUCUAGGACCUCAAAAUAAAACAGCCCACGUUUCAUUUAUACAUUCAUUUAUAGUCAUAUAUAAGUGGAUAUCCACGUAUAUAUUUCUCAGAGCAAGUCAUUUCAGAAGUCUACUGGGGCCCAAACCACCCUCCCUCCACACUGACCUGCAAUUUGCGUGGCCCAUACUUCCUCUUCUUCAUAAGGAUAUCCGCUUGGGCUAUAAGGACCCCACAUAUUCCGAGUUACCUUUUCAUUCUUCUGGGUGGCACAAGCCUGUUGUACUCAGGCGAGAAGACAGAGGAAUUCUGCCCUAUCACAUGGGCAGACACAGUGUUCGAUUACGUUCUAUCAGUUAG
rnacentral:lncRNA from 1 species